CCUACGGGAGGCAGCAGUGAGGAAUAUUGGUCAAUGGACGCAAGUCUGAACCAGCCAUGCCGCGUGCAGGAAGACGGCUCUAUGAGUUGUAAACUGCUUUUGUACGAGGGUAAACGCAGAUACGCGUAUCUGUCUGAAAGUAUCGUACGAAUAAGGAUCGGCUAACUCCGUGCCAGCAGCCGCGGUAAUACGGAGGAUUCAAGCGUUAUCCGGAUUUAUUGGGUUUAAAGGGUGCGUAGGCGGUCGUAUAAGGUAGAGGUGAAAUCCCGAGGCUCAACUUCGGAAUUGCCUCUGAUACUGUUCGGCGAGAGAGUAGGUGCGGUAGGCGGAAUGUAUGGUGUAGCGGUGAAAUGCUUAGAGAUCAUACAGAACACCGAUUGCGAAGGCAGCUUACCAAGCUACUUCUGACGUUGAGGCACGAAAGCGUGGGGAGCAAACAGGAUUAGAUACCCCAGUAGUC
rnacentral:rRNA from 1 species